rnacentral:rRNA from 1 species
CAGCGCCACGAGUGGUAACCACGUUUAUUGGGCCUAAAGCGUCCGUAGCCGGUUUGAUAAAUCUUUUGUGAAAUUGUUCAGCUUAACUGAACAGCGUGCAAGAGAGACUGGCAGGCUUGAGACCGGGAGGAGUCAGAAGUAUUCCAAGGGGAGCGGUAAAAUGUUAUAAUCCUUGGAGGACUACCUGUGGCGAAGGCGUCUGACCAGAACGGAUCUGACAGUGAGGGACGAAAGCCAGGGGAGCAAACCGGAUUAGAUACCCGAGUAGUCC